AUGCAAGUCGAACGGUAACAGGUUAAGCUGACGAGUGGCGAACGGGUGAGUAAUAUAUCGGAACGUGCCCAGUUGUGGGGGAUAACUACUCGAAAGAGUGGCUAAUACCGCAUGAGACCUGAGGGUGAAAGCGGGGGAUCGCAAGACCUCGCGCAAUUGGAGCGGCCGAUAUCAGAUUAGCUAGUUGGCGGGGUAAAAGCCCACCAAGGCAACGAUCUGUAGCUGGUCUGAGAGGACGACCAGCCACACUGGGACUGAGACACGGCCCAGACUCCUACGGGAGGCAGCAGUGGGGAAUUUUGGACAAUGGACGCAAGUCUGAUCCAGCCAUGCCGCGUGCGGGAAGAAGGCCUUCGGGUUGUAAACCGCUUUUGUCAGGGAAGAAACGAGUUUCUCUAAUACAGAGACUUAAUGACGGUACCUGAAGAAUAAGCACCGGCUAACUACGUGCCAGCAGCCGCGGUAAUACGUAGGGUGCAAGCGUUAAUCGGAAUUACUGGGCGUAAAGCGUGCGCAGGCGGUUAUGCAAGACAGAUGUGAAAUCCCCGGGCUCAACCUGGGAACUGCAUUUGUGACUGCAUGGCUAGAGUACGGUAGAGGGGGAUGGAAUUCCGCGUGUAGCAGUGAAAUGCGUAGAUAUGCGGAGGAACACCGAUGGCGAAGGCAAUCCCCUGGACCUGUACUGACGCUCAUGCACGAAAGCGUGGGGAGCAACAGGAUUGAUCCCUGGUAGUCACGCCCUAACGACGUCACUGGUGUUUGGAGGGUUCUCUCAUACGUACUACCGUGAGUGACGCUGGGAUACGCCGCAGUGAACCAAGAUG
rnacentral:rRNA from 1 species